GCGCACGUAGCUCAGCUGGAUAGAGCGACGGAUUCCGGUUCCGUAGGCCGAGGGUUCAAAUCCUUCCGUGCGUACAA
rnacentral:tRNA from 1 species